GACGAACGCUGGCGGCGUGCUUAACACAUGCAAGUCGAACGGAAAGGCCCUGCUUUUGUGGGGUGCUCGAGUGGCGAACGGGUGAGUAACACGUGAGUAACCUGCCCUUGACUUUGGGAUAACUUCAGGAAACUGGGGCUAAUACCGGAUAGGAGCUCCUGCUGCAUGGUGGGGGUUGGAAAGUUUCGGCGGUUGGGGAUGGACUCGCGGCUUAUCAGCUUGUUGGUGCGGUAGUGGCUUACCAAGGCUUUGACGGGUAGCCGGCCUGAGAGGGUGACCGGCCACAUUGGGACUGAGAUACGGCCCAGACUCCUACGGGAGGCAGCAGUGGGGAAUAUUGCACAAUGGGCGGAAGCCUGAUGCAGCAACGCCGCGUGCGGGAUGACGGCCUUCGGGUGGUAAACCGCUUUCGCCUGUGACGAAGCGUGAGUGACGGUAAUGGGUAAAGAAGCACCGGCUAACUACGU
rnacentral:rRNA from 1 species